GACAGCGAUACUGCUACCAUUGAUGCCCGAGUUAAGCUCUUCGGUUUCAACGUGCGCGUCCCCGGUUUAGAGAGAAAUCUGUGCAAAGGUGCCGUUCAGUGCCCCGUCUUCAAGGGCAAGGCCUACAACGGAACCACGGAAGUGUACGUCCCCUGGUACAUCCCCAACAUGACGCGGGAUGUGGACGUCAAAAUUAUUGGUGACAAAGGCCUUAGCAUUUGCCUAAAAAUGAAGGUGACGAUCAGAUAAUAAAGAGUCACGUUUAUUUAUUAAAAAAUGUGCUUG